rnacentral:rRNA from 1 species
AUUGAACGCUGGCGGCAGGCCUAACACAUGCAGGUCGAGCGGAUGAAGGGAGCUUGCUCCUGGAUCCAGCGGCGGACGGGUGAGUAAUGCCUAGGAAUCUGCCUGGUAGUGGGGGAUAACGUCCGGAAACGGGCGCUAAUACCGCAUACGUCCUGAGGGAGAAAGUGGGGGAUCUUCGGACCUCACGCUAUCAGAUGAGCCUAGGUCGGAUUAGCUAGUUGGUGGGGUAAAGGCCUACCAAGGCGACGAUCCGUAACUGGUCUGAGAGGAUGAUCAGUCACACUGGAACUGAGACACGGUCCAGACUCCUACGGGAGGCAGCAGUGGGGAAUAUUGGACAAUGGGCGAAAGCCUGAUCCAGCCAUGCCGCGUGUGUGAAGAAGGUCUUCGGAUUGUAAAGCACUUUAAGUUGGGAGGAAGGGCAGUAAGUUAAUACCUUGCUGUUUUGACGUUACCAACAGAAUAAGCACCGGCUAACUUCGUG